GAUCAGCAUCAGGCCACUCAGACAUAGCAAGAUGAUCUCACAGGCUCAGCUCAUCUGGCUGUUAGUGCUCUGGAUCCAGGACUCCAGUGGGGACAUUGUGAUGACUCAGACUCCAGAAUCCCUGGCAGUGUCUCCUGGAGAGACAGUCACUAUCCGCUGCAAAGCCAGUUCAAGUCUCACCAGUGGUAGCUAUCAUUUACUAGCCUGGUACCAACAGAAAUCAGGACAAGCUCCUAAGCUCCUUAUCUAUGAUGCUUCCACCCGAGCCUCUGGGAUCCCAGACCGGUUCAGUGGCAGCGGGUCUGGGACCGACUACACAUUCACUAUCAGCAGGUUUGAAGCUGAUGAUGCUGGAGAUUAUUACUGUCAGCAGUAUCACAGCACUCCUCUCACACAGUGA